GUUUCCUCUUUCGGAUUUGUUAUGGGAUUUUAUUGGCCAUGUGUUGGGAUUGGCGCGAAAAGCGUAGCUUUUUUUUGGCUCUGUUCCGUUGCUAAUUUGUUUACCUGCGAGAACCGGGGAGAGAAAUCGCUCUUGUUUAUUUUCAACAGCAUUUUUGGUACCAGUUCGAGAAUAACGAAAACAACGACAGACCAGCGGAAAUUUAAAGAAAUCUGUAUAUUUUUGGGGUCGCGAGUUUUCAAUUCAUGGAAACACGAGUACGUAUACAGCAGAAACGUGUUGAAAGGCUCGCCAGUAAAAUGUUUUUGCAUAAUUUCCAGAAUCAAAAGUGGAGGGGGGAAAAAGUGGUAAAUCAAAUCAAAUGUUUAACACAUGGAGCCGUGAGUCUCGAAUGGCAAAUGAAGCAAAAAUAAUUAUUCUGAUGGCCAGAAAAAAAUGGCACAAAGUGGCACACUGAAAUUUCAAUGGACCGUUGGUUGAAUGAACAGAAAAGUUGUUACAAAAAGGUGCACAUUCCUCUUGCCCCUUGCCCCAAAAAACCCAUAAACCAUUUACCGAUGCCCAUAA
rnacentral:sRNA from 13 species